rnacentral:rRNA from 1 species
AUUGAACGCUGGCGGCAGGCCUAACACAUGCAAGUCGAACGAGUGGCGGACGGGUGAGUAAUGUCUGGGAAACUGCCCGCUGGCGGGGGAUAACUACUAGCAACGGUAAACAAUACCGAAUACCAUCGGAGCUUCCCUGCUGGGUUAAGCUAGUAGGUGGGGUAACGGCUAACCUAGGACGCGUUCCCUAGCUGGUCUGAGAGGAUGACCAGCCAAACUGGAACUGGGAGACGGCCCAGAUUCCGACGGGAGGCAGCAGUGGGGAGUAUUGGACAAUGGGCGCAAGCCUGAUGCAGCAAUGCCGCGUGGAGGAAGAAGUCUUUAGGGUUGUAAAGUACUUUCAGCGGGGAGGCGUUACUCGCAGAGAAAGCACCGGCUAACUCCGUGCCAGCAGCCGCGGUAAUUC